rnacentral:rRNA from 1 species
ACGAACGCUGGCGGCGUGCCUAAUACAUGCAAGUCGAACGCUUCUUUUUCCAUCGGAGCUUGCUCCACCGGAAAAAGAGGAGUGGCGAACGGGUGAGUAACACGUGGGUAACCUGCCCAUCAGAAGGGGAUAACACUUGGAAACAGGUGCUAAUACCGUAUAACAAUCGAAACCGCAUGGUUUUGAUUUGAAAGGCGCUUUCGGGUGUCGCUGAUGGAUGGACCCGCGGUGCAUUAGCUAGUUGGUGAGGUAACGGCUCACCAAGGCGACGAUGCAUAGCCGACCUGAGAGGGUGAUCGGCCACAUUGGGACUGAGACACGGCCCAAACUCCUACGGGAGGCAGCAGUAGGGAAUCUUCGGCAAUGGACGAAAGUCUGACCGAGCAACGCCGCGUGAGUGAAGAAGGUUUUCGGAUCGUAAAACUCUGUUGUUAGAGAAGAACAAGGAUGAGAGUAACUGUUCAUCCCUUGACGGUAUCUAACCAGAAAGCCACGGCUAACUACGUGCCAGCAGCCGCGGUAAUACGUAGGUGGCAAGCGUUGUCCGGAUUUAUUGGGCGUAAAGCGAGCGCAGGCGGUUUCUUAAGUCUGAUGUGAAAGCCCCCGGCUCAACCGGGGAGGGUCAUUGGAAACUGGGAGACUUGAGUGCAGAAGAGGAGAGUGGAAUUCCAUGUGUAGCGGUGAAAUGCGUAGAUAUAUGGAGGAACACCAGUGGCGAAGGCGGCUCUCUGGUCUGUAACUGACGCUGAGGCUCGAAAGCGUGGGGAGCAAACAGGAUUAGAUACCCUGGUAGUCCACGCCGUAAACGAUGAGUGCUAAGUGUUGGAGGGUUUCCGCCCUUCAGUGCUGCAGCUAACGCAUUAAGCACUCCGCCUGGGGAGUACGACCGCAAGGUUGAAACUCAAAGGAAUUGACGGGGGCCCGCACAAGCGGUGGAGCAUGUGGUUUAAUUCGAAGCAACGCGAAGAACCUUACCAGGUCUUGACAUCCUUUGACCACUCUAGAGAUAGAGCUUCCCCUUCGGGGGCAAAGUGACAGGUGGUGCAUGGUUGUCGUCAGCUCGUGUCGUGAGAUGUUGGGUUAAGUCCCGCAACGAGCGCAACCCUUAUUGUUAGUUGCCAUCAUUUAGUUGGGCACUCUAGCAAGACUGCCGGUGACAAACCGGAGGAAGGUGGGGAUGACGUCAAAUCAUCAUGCCCCUUAUGACCUGGGCUACACACGUGCUACAAUGGGAAGUACAACGAGUCGCAAAGUCGCGAGGCUAAGCUAAUCUCUUAAAGCUUCUCUCAGUUCGGAUUGUAGGCUGCAACUCGUCUACAUGAAGCCGGAAUCGCUAGUAAUCGCGGAUCAGCACGCCGCGGUGAAUACGUUCCCGGGCCUUGUACACACCGCCCGUCACACCACGAGAGUUUGUAACACCCGAAGUCGGUGAGGUAACCUUUUGGAGCCAGCCGCCUAAGGUGGGAUAGAUGAUUGGGGUG